rnacentral:lncRNA from 1 species
UUAUCAGCACGAAUCUCUAUUAUCUCAAGAAUCUCUUUGAGAAAAUUAAGAUUACACAUUCAUCUUCUCAUCUCAAAUCACUAGCCAAACUAGCCCGUCGACCAAACACCUCCCUACGCAACAGACCGCUAUUACGUCCUUCACCACACACCUGAACAGCCACCAUUCUCUCGCCACCUCAAAGCCAUCGGACCUCACUGCUGUUCCUAGCAGCAACAGCGUGAAAGAGCAACAAAUGGGGUUCGAACUUGGAAGAGUAUCCAUUGAUGUCCGUAUGAGGUUUCCGGUCCGUAUCUAUGAGCUCGAAGCAACGCUACUCCAUUCACUCGUAUUUCGGAAUAGUUCGUUGUAAGUGCGGUUGAGAUUUCUUUAUAAAUAUUGAAGAAAGCAAUUUUCAGGUUCAUCUCUUUUCUCCUUUACUAUUGAUUUCGCUUGUUUCUGCUUUACUGCUCAUGAUUUCAGUGUUGAUGGUUUGAUCAAAUUUGUCCAUUACUGUUAAAUCUAUCGUUUGGGUUUGAACAGUGACGAAGGUGUCUAGUGUAGAUCUGCACUUAUGAUUACAAGCAUUCUGUUCUUUGUAAAAUAAGAGAAAAUAACAAUUUUGGAUGAAUAGUUGUGUGGUUUGUUGUUCGAAAUUUAAGUGUUGAAACUUUCUGUUUAUAAUUUUUCUUACUUUCUUUGUUAAUUAAAAAA